rnacentral:rRNA from 1 species
AGCGAACGCUGGCGGCAGGCUUAACACAUGCAAGUCGAGCGGGCGUAGCAAUACGUCAGCGGCAGACGGGUGAGUAACGCGUGGGAACAUACCUUUGGUUCGGAACAACACAGGGAAACUUGUGCUAAUACCGGAUAAGCCCUUACGGGGAAAGAUUUAUCGCCGAAAGAUUGGCCCGCGUCUGAUUAGCUAGUUGGUGAGGUAAUGGCUCACCAAGGCGACGAUCAGUAGCUGGUCUGAGAGGAUGAUCAGCCACAUUGGGACUGAGACACGGCCCAAACUCCUACGGGAGGCAGCAGUGGGGAAUAUUGGACAAUGGGGGCAACCCUGAUCCAGCCAUGCCGCGUGAGUGAUGAAGGCCCUAGGGUUGUAAAGCUCUUUUGUGCGGGAAGAUAAUGACGGUACCGCAAGAAUAAGCCCCGGCUAACUUCGUG